UUUUUGCAAUAUACUGGAUUUUAAGGGCAACGUUGGUGUUAUUUGAAAUUUUUUUAUAAUUAGUAUUUUUGUUAUUAUGAGAUGAUAAAACAUGAAUAAUAUUUAUAUUUUUUUAAAAAAAAUUCAAAUAAAACGGGCAGUCAAAGUUGAGCGCGAAAAAAUCAUGGCUGUAUUUAAA
rnacentral:pre_miRNA from 1 species